UACGGGGGGUGCAAGCGUUGUCCGGAAUCAUUGGGCGUAAAGAGCGUGUAGGCGGCUCGGUAAGUCCGCUGUGAAAGUCCAGGGCUCAACCCUGGAAUGCCGGUGGAAACUGUCGAGCUAGAGUCCGGAAGAGGCGAGUGGAAUUCCUGGUGUAGCGGUGAAAUGCGCAGAUAUCGGGAGGAACACCUGUGGCGAAAGCGGCGCACUGGACCAUAACUGACGCUGAUGCGCGAAAGCUAGGGGAGCAAACAGG
rnacentral:rRNA from 1 species